GACGAACGCUGGCGGCGUGCUUAACACAUGCAAGUCGAACGGAAAGGCCCUGCUUUUGUGGGGUGCUCGAGUGGCGAACGGGUGAGUAACACGUGAGUAACCUGCCCUUGACUUUGGGAUAACUUCAGGAAACUGGGGCUAAUACCGGAUAGGAGCUCCUGCUGCAUGGUGGGGGUUGGAAAGUUUCGGCGGUUGGGGAUGGACUCGCGGCUUAUCAGCUUGUUGGUGGGGUAGUGGCUUACCAAGGCUUUGACGGGUAGCCGGCCUGAGAGGGUGACCGGCCACAUUGGGACUGAGAUACGGCCCAGACUCCUACGGGAGGCAGCAGUGGGGAAUAUUGCACAAUGGGCGGAAGCCUGAUGCAGCAACGCCGCGUGCGGGAUGACGGCCCUCGGGUUGAAAACCGCUUUCGCCUGUGACGAAGCGUGAGUGACGGUAAUGGGUAAAGAAGCACCGGCUAACUACGUG
rnacentral:rRNA from 1 species